rnacentral:rRNA from 1 species
AGCGAACGCUGGCGGCAGGCUUAACACAUGCAAGUCGAGCGGGCCCUUCGGGGUCAGCGGCGGACGGGUGAGUAACGCGUGGGAACGUGCCUUCUGGUCUGGAAUAACCCUGGGAAACUAGGGCUAAUACCGGAUACGCCCUUUUGGGGAAAGGUUUACUGCCGGAAGAUCGGCCCGCGUCUGAUUAGCUAGUUGGUGGGGUAACGGCCUACCAAGGCGACGAUCAGUAGCUGGUCUGAGAGGAUGAUCAGCCACACUGGGACUGAGACACGGCCCAGACUCCUACGGGAGGCAGCAGUGGGGAAUAUUGGACAAUGGGCGCAAGCCUGAUCCAGCCAUGCCGCGUGAGUGAUGAGGGCCUUAGGGUUGUAAAGCUCUUUUAUCCGGGACGAUAAUGACGGUACCGGAGGAAUAAGCCCCGGCUAACUUCGUG